CCUACGGGAGGCUGCAGUGAGGAAUAUUGGUCAAUGGACGAGAGUCUGAACCAGCCAAGUAGCGUGAAGGAUGACUGCCCUAUGGGUUGUAAACUUCUUUUAUAUGGGAAUAAAAUGUUCCACGUGUGGGAUUUUGUAUGUACCAUAUGAAUAAGGAUCGGCUAACUCCGUGCCAUCAGCCGCGGUAAUACGGAGGAUCCGAGCGUUAUCCGCAUUUCUUGGGUUUAAAGGGAGCGUAGGUGGAUUGUUAAGUCAGUUGUGAAAGUUUGCGGCUCAACCGUAAAAUUGCAGUUGAAACUGGCAGUCGUGAGUACAGUAGAGGUGGGCGGAAUUCGUGGUGUAGCGGGGAAAUGCUUAGAUAUCACGAAAAACUACGAGUGCGAAGGCAGCUCACUGGACUGCAACUGACACUGAGGCUCGAAAGUGUGGGUAUCAAACAGGAUUAGAUACCCCAGUAGUC
rnacentral:rRNA from 1 species